GGGCUGAGGGUGAUUUGGCUGUGACAUCUGUCACUCCAUAGAUCACCAGAGAUGAUUUGGCUGGUCUGGCUAGCUAGGUAGAUGUCCCCUUCUUCCCUCACCACUAUAUGUGUAUUCUUCCCAAAAGCUGUGUGCUCUAUCCCCAAAAGAGGAAGAACCAUUCUUUGGUCAAGGGUAUAUAAGUACUUCCCUGCUGGAACCUCCGAACAAACUCUCAAGUCCAAGUAUGGGCACCAGUCAGGAAAAUUCCAUGUGGUUCCUGCUCCCU
rfam:Dipodomys ordii contig_9065, whole genome shotgun sequence.